rnacentral:lncRNA from 1 species
CCGCCUUGCAGUUUGACCUCAGACUGCUGUGCUAGCAGUCAGCGAGACUCCGUGGGCGUAGGACUUUCUGAGCCAGGUGCGGGAUAUAAUCUGCUGGUGUGCCGUUUUUUAAACCCAUCGGAAAAGCGCAGUAUUCAGGUGGGAGUGACCCGAUUUUCCAGGUGCCGUUUGUCACCACUUUCCUUGACUAGGAAAGGGAACUCCCUGACCCCUUGCACUUCUUGAGUGAGGCAAUGCCUCGCCCUGCUUUGGCUCGUGCACAGUGCGUGCACUCACUGACCUGCGCCCACUGUCUGGCACUCGCUAGUGAGAUGAACCCGGUACCUCAGAUGGAAAUGCAGAAAUCACCCGUCUUCUGCGUCGCUUAGGCUGGGAGCUGUAGACCGGAGCUGUUCCUAUUCGGCCAUCUUGGCUCCUAAAUCUGACAUCCUAAGGAACAUUAUCUUUUGAGGGCACAAUCUUUCACUUGCAUCCUCUAUGGUAAUGCACCUAAAUCUGGAUCCAAGAUCUUAUAAAUACACCAGGGAUUCAGUCUAGGUUCUGAUGCUCACUUCACCAUCAUUGAGAUGAAGAAUAUUGCCAGAUGUGGAACCUGCAGAUGCAGGGGGCUGACUUAAGAGACGAGGAUCCACAGACGCUGACAUCCAUGGUGUGGUCCUUGGACCAGCAACAUCAGUAUCUAUAUCACCUGAGAGCUUGUUAAACAUUCAGAAAUUGGGAGCCCACGCAACAUCUACAGAAUCAGAAUCUACAUUUCUACAAGAUACUCUGGAAUUCAUACCUAAAUUUUGUGGUUUGAGAAGUCCUGUAGUGCAGGCUACAUCACCAGGACUUGAAGGACAGCAGCACAUCUUUGCUCAAAGUUAACUUUCCUGGACUAAAAGUUUAAACUCUGACAUCCCUACAAUGGGCACACCCAACUCAAGUCUUCUUUCUUGGGAAUGCACUGUCUCAGUGAUUGGCUUCCUGUGUGGUGAGCGGCAGGACCUAGACCAUAACUCCUGAUGUUUUGGAAACAGAAUGACUGAGGAUUCCCAAAAUAUAUUAACGACCAGCCACAGAUUCCAGAAACACGGACAAGCAAAAGGUAGAAUAAGUUUUUUUUCUCUACUUCUCAUAUUAUUCUUUCUCUCCCUUCCCAAUGUUUUUGUUAUAUCAUUUUAUUUUGUCUGAGAAUAUAACUCUUAUGUUGUAUUCUGCAAACAAAAUCACAACGUUUUUGUCUCACUCCUUGAGUUAAGUAAACUACCUACUUACGACCAGUCUUUUUUUUUUUUUUUUUUUUUUGAGGCGGACUCUUGCUCUGUUGCCAAGGCUGGAGUGAGUGGUGUGAUCUCAGCUCACUGCAGCCUCCACCUCCCAGGUUCAAGUGAUUCUCCUACCUCAGCCUCCCAAGUAGCUGGGAUUUCAGGUCCCUGCCACCAUGCCU